UGCAUAAAUCUGAAGUCAAAUAAAAAAACCACAACAAGAAAUGUAGGAAAAUUAUUGUAAUUCAUAUCAACAGGAUAAAAAAUAAACCCAAUACACAAGAACGAUCACAAACUUAUUGUAUUCGGAGGUUAGAGAAUUUAUUGGCGGUGGCAUGAUAAGGGAGUCUAUGAUGGUGAGAUGUGUCAUACGGAUGGAUUUGAUGCGGAGGGAACAACCAAAAGAGGUAGUGUUGCACAAUUCGUCCUCCACAACAUACAUGUGUGCGUAGUUUUCAACGAACAACAUUGAUGUACGCAAAAAGAAUAAGUGAGGCAAGCAUGACGAUAGAGAAUGUGGUGAGGGCAUUGAAGGACCACCUCACCAUCCUCCAUUUAGAUUUGAACAAAAACAAAACACUUUUACUUCAAAUAUGUACAAAACCUCAACACUUCCUUCAUAUUUGAACAAAAACUGCACCAUCCUCUGAUAUGAGCAGAGGAAUAAAAGCUUCAAAAUGCCUUGAAUUUGAGGUCAAGGUAGCCUCCUAAUAAAGAUAAGUUUAC
rnacentral:lncRNA from 1 species